GCUUAAGACUCAGUAUUUCUAAUGGAUUUAUAGGUCUUCCCUGCUGGUGAAGAUUUAUCUACAGAUCUUUCCGUGUCAGAGGAGGAGCUUGCUCUUCUGAAGGUUGUUUGAGUCAAGGAGGUACGUGAUCCCCUCCCUGAAGAGCAUGUCCUGCCAUUGGCAUUAUCUGCUACCUGGAGGGUCUUCUGGCAGGAAGAGGUGUCACUCCCUGCAUUCUUCUGGCUCUUCUUCCAAGCACACCAGAUGGAGAUGAAUGCAGAAACGCCAGGAGAACAGUCUCCACAUGACGUUUAGCCAGUCAGGACUGAAUUUCAUCCGGAAACAUAAACCUCCCUAGUCUCCUUUUCAAACAGAGCUGACACCUUGUCUCUCCUGCAGCACACAAUGUUUCGUCUUUGAAAAUACCAGAGGAGUUUCACUCAUAGUUCUCCUGGGUUUAUGGUUCUAGUGCAUUAACAUUUGCACCACGGGGAGUGCUCACUGGACUCAAGAACAGGGAUUGAAUAGCUCAGGACACAAUGCUUUUAAUACUUCAUCUUGUUUCACAGAACUGCUGCUUGUUGUCGCGGCUGUGCCCAGCUUUUGCUUUUGUCUGUGCCCUUGGUGGUGAAAAGAGAGACAGGCUUUAUCUCAGGUUGGCAGUGGGUUCAGAACAGAGACCCGUACCCUGAACCCAGGCGCUGAAGGGGCUCCUACAGAUUUUGUGUGACACCAUACCAGCACGUGGGCAGGACGUCGGUGGAUCCCGAGUGGCUGCACAAGUGAAACGGUGGAUGUGCUGCAGUAACGCUGAAGGAAUACCUGCCAGAAUGUGCAGCAUUUCUGCUCUUGCAGGACGGAUAAAACAUCUCCCCUGCUGCAUACAUGCAGUCUGGAGCCAGCAGGGAUGGGGCCAGCAGCUCCAGAGGGCACGUUUAGGAGAAGGACAUCCCUGCUCCGAGGUACACAAAUACUGA
rnacentral:lncRNA from 1 species